CCUGGCCAACCUCGGGCCACCCCCAGCAGGCAUAGCCAGUGGGGUCAGGGGGCAGAGGUCCAACGCAGGCAGACACUGCAGGCUGCAGGAGGAACGGGAAGUCACACCGCCCAGCCCCAUUCUCCCAUCAAGCGGGGGAGGGAGGCGACAGAAAGGGUGACCGGCCAGGAGGCGGAUGGAGGCGCGGAAGGAGUCGGGGUCCUUCAGCAGCGGCGAGAUGUCCCUGGGCACAAGAAGAGGCUGGUGACUCGGGCGGACGGGGCGUGCGGCCUGCGGGACCCCCGAGCCGCCCACGCACCCACGCCAGGCACCGAGGGUGGCGCCAACGCUCUGGCUGUGCCGCGCCGCCCGGGCCGCGGACGCACCUGAACAGCACGCCCGGGAUGGGGAAGUCGGGGAAGCUGCGGAUGCGCCGAGCCACCAGCUGCAGGUCGUGCUCCGCCAUGGCCGCAUGCUUCCUGCCUCAAGCAGGAGACCCCGAGGCCCGUCAACGGGGCGGGGGUCUCCGAGCUGUGGGAGACGGUGCGCUGGGCGCCCCGGACCCACCUCGGCUUGUCGCGAGGACGCGGCGUGCAGCGGGUGUGGGAUGCUUGGCCGGCCUUGCAGAGGCCUUGGGCUGGGACCAGCGAAUCGCCCUAGCCAGGGCCCGAGGAGCCGGGUCACCGCCUCAGCGCCUUCCCAGGCCAGAUGCCUGAGGCACAGCCUCCCCCAAACGUGGUCUCCUGUAAACCCCAAGUCGACAAAGUUAAAAUACGUUUUGUUCCUUUA